AGCAGAUUCAAGUUCCUGAUCCAUGUAAUUUUGCUUCUUGAAGAAUUUAUCGCCUUUCCUUCAAGGGAAAAUCAGCUGGUGAUGACUGCUCAGUUUCUUCAUGAAAGAGCCUAAUUUUGUUAAAAACAGAAGGCACUAAUGAGGCAUUAAAUAAUCAACAUUUUGCAAGAAUCAGUCAUUCCAAAGCAAGUGCACAUCUUUACUUUGU